CUUUCUCUCCCACACUUUCUAAUUUAUUUCCCUUUUCAAGCAUGUGCAGAUACACAAGAAGCAGGAGUAGAUGGGACAGUGAGAUCUCGGGAUUGAGUUUUAAUAAAUGGUAUUGAAAUCUGCAACCUCUACAUCUGCUUGCUCCGAGAUCGGCACCACGCCCUUGGAAUUCUCUAUGGUUAUUAAUCACUUCUUUCUGAAUGAUGAAUGGUGUUUUGUUUUGGAAGAUUUUAUAUAUUCUGUAGACAAAUCCCAUAUAACACUAUGUUCUUGUUUCCUUCUGUUACUGGUUUCUCCUUUUGCCA